rnacentral:tRNA from 21 species
GCGUCCGUAGCUCAGCUGGAUAGAGCACCGGUUUGCGGUACCGGCGGUCAGGGAUUCGAAUUCCUUCGGGCGCACCA